rfam:Cochliobolus heterostrophus C5 unplaced genomic scaffold COCHEscaffold_10, whole genome shotgun sequence.
ACAUACGUCCAUAGAUUUCUGGCCCAGGGAAACCCGUUCGAUCUUCCGUACUUAAGCAGUUAAUCGGCGGAUUAGUAGUCAGGUGGGUGACCACUGGCGAAUACCCGCUGUCGUAUGUU